rnacentral:rRNA from 1 species
UUUCUUGUGUGACCGCGUACUUUUUGUAGAACGGGCCAACGAGUUACGUUAAGUAGCAAGGUUAAGCACUUAAGGUGCGGAGCCGUAGCGAAAGCGAGUUUUAACUGAGCGUUCAGUUACUUGACGUAGACCCGAAACCGGGCGACCUACCCAUGAGCAGGAUGAAGCGAAAGUAAAAUUUCGUGGAGGUCCGAACCCACGAGCGUUGAAAAGCUCGGGGAUGACUUGUGGGUAGCGGUGAAAUUCCAAUCGAGCCCGGAGAUAGCUGGUUCUCCCCGAAAUAGCUUUAGGGCUAGCCUCAAGGUGAGAGAUACGGAGGUAGAGCACUGAAUGUCCUAGGGGGUAUUGCACCUACCGAAGACUAUCAAACUCCGAAUGCCGUCAUCUUAUACUUGGGAGUCAGACUGUGGGUGAUAAGAUUCAUAGUCGAAAGGGCAACAGCCCAGAUCGUCAGCUAAGGUCCCUAAAUGUAAGUUAAGUGGUAAAGGAUGUGGGAUUGCACAGACAACCAGGAUGUUGGCUUAGAAGCAGCCACUCAUUCAAAGAGUGCGUAAUAGCUCACUGGUCGAGUGAUCCUGCGCCGAAGAUUUCCGGGGCUAAAACUUACUACCGAAGCUACGGCAUCAGUAAUGAUGGGUAGGGGAGCUUCCCAUAUGGGUUGAAGCAUGACCGUAAGGACAUGUGGACAGUAUGGGAGUGAGAAUGUUGGCAUGAGUAGCGAGAUGUGGGUGAGAAUCCCACAGGCCGUAAACCCAAGGUUUCCAGGGGAAGGUUCGUCCGCCCUGGGUUAGUCGGGACCUAAGCUGAGGCCGAAAGGCGUAGGUGAUGGACAACAGGUUGAUAUUCCUGUACUACCGAUAACCGUUUGAGAGAAGGGAUGACACAGUAGGAUAAGCUAAGCACACUGUUGGUUAUGUGUGCCCAAGCAUUGAGGCAGUCAAAGUAGGCAAAUCCGCUUUGAUAAUGCUGGGAUGUGAUGGGGAGCGAAAUUUAGUAGCGAAGUAGCUGAUUUCACACUGUCAAGAAAAGUCUCUAUCGAGGUUAAAGGUACCCGUACCGCAAACCGACACAGGUGGGUGAGGAGAGUAUCCUAAGGCCAGCGAGAGAACUGUUGUUAAGGAACUCGGCAAAAUGACCCCGUAACUUAGGGAUAAGGGGUGCCACCAUCAGGUGGCCGCAGAGAAUAGGCCCAAGCGACUGUUUACCAAAAACAUAGGUUUCUGCUAAGUCGCAAGACGAUGUAUAGGAGCUGACGCCUGCCCGGUGCUGGAAGGUUAAGGGGAUCUGUUAGAGCAAUCGAAGCAGUGAACUUAAGCCCCAGUAAACGGCGGCCGUAACUAUAACGGUCCUAAGGUAGCGAAAUUCCUUGUCGGGUAAGUUCCGACCCGCACGAAAGGCGUAACGAUUUGGGCACUGUCUCAACAACAGACUCGGUGAAAUUGUAAUUCCGGUGAAGAUGCCGGAUACCUGCGACAGGACGGAAAGACCCCAUGGAGCUUUACUGUAGCUUGACAUUGGGUCUUGGUACUACAUGUACAGGAUAGGUGGGAGGCUUUGAAACCAGGACGCCAGUUUUGGCGGAGCCAUCCUUGGGAUACC